UACAGAGGGGGCAAGCGUUAUUCGGAAUUAUUGGGCGUAAAGGGCGCGUAGGCGGCCUGGCAAGUGGAAGGUGAAAUCCCUCGGCUGAACCGAGGAACUGCCCUCCAAACUGCUUGGCUUGAGUCCGGGAGAGGUGAGUGGAAUUCCCAGUGUAGCGGUGAAAUGCGUAGAUAUUGGGAGGAACACCAGUGGCGAAGGCGGCUCACUGGACCGGAACUGACGCUGAGGCGCGAAAGCGUGGGGAGCAAACGGG
rnacentral:rRNA from 1 species